AGUGAACGCUGGCGGUAGGCCUAACACAUGCAAGUCGAACGGCAGCACAGUAAGAGCUUGCUCUUACGGGUGGCGAGUGGCGGACGGGUGAGGAAUACAUCGGAAUCUGCUUUUUCGUGGGGGAUAACGUAGGGAAACUUACGCUAAUACCGCAUACGACCUACGGGUGAAAACAGGGGAUCUUCGGACCUUGCGCGAUUGAAUGAGCCGAUGUCGGAUUAGCUAGUUGGCGGGGUAAAGGCCCACCAAGGCGACGAUCCGUAGCUGGUCUGAGAGGAUGAUCAGCCACACUGGAACUGAGACACGGUCCAGACUCCUACGGGAGGCAGCAGUGGGGAAUAUUGGACAAUGGGCGCAAGCCUGAUCCAGCCAUACCGCGUGGGUGAAGAAGGCCUUCGGGUUGUAAAGCCCUUUUGUUGGGAAAGAAAAGCAGCAGGUUAAUACCCCGCUGUUCUGACGGUACCCAAAGAAUAAGCACCGGCUAACUUCGUG
rnacentral:rRNA from 1 species